GCUUACCGAGCGAUUGGCAGAAGAUACAAACCUUCCUGUUCUGCUUGUUAACACUGAGCUGAACGGGGGUCGGAACGCAGUCAUGGUUAUAUUUAAACCCUGCGCUAGAUAUGGGUCUGAAAACGUACCUCCAUGCAGGGAUGGGAUAUACCACUGUACUCCAAAAUGUGGACUACAGUGGCAUAUCACAUCCAUGAAUGUAGGUACAUUUUCCCGAACCAUAUCUCACCUUGCUCCGAAGUUAAUGUAAACGAUGACUUUGUUCUGACCCCAGUGCAGCUCAGUGUAAACAAGCUAAUGGUACAGUCGGUAUAUUCUAGCAACUAUAUGGAUGGAACAAGACAUAACUACCUACACAGAGUCGGUCUAUGACUGAUCUAUGAACUAAAAAUGAAUAAGCAACAUGUAAAAUACAAACAUAGCUAUAUUAUUGUUUAAUUGCACAAUAUUGUUAAUUCUAAUGGAGAAAAUGUAUUGAGCAUGCAUUUGGUAGCGGGAAGAAGAGAAAAAAAUGUCAUUUGUCCUCAUAUUCCACAAACAAAUAAAUUCAAUCAAUCGUAUUUAAUAAAGCCCUUUAUACAUCAGUAACUGUGACAAAGUGCAAUACAGACAGACCCCCUCUACUUGAAAUUCAGGUUGGCUGUCUAUCAUUGGGAGUCUUUCAAUGAGACACUUUCAAAAGUCAGAAGCAGAGAAAUCAAGAGGUUGUUGUGUCCUUGCGGUAGAAAAGCGAACUGGAAGUAAAAUAGCUAACCAGCUAACAAGGUAGCCAGAGAUUUAAUCGUUUUGUAGCCACUACUAGUUGUAAUUUCAUUGAUUUAUUUUUUAUAUUGCAGCCGGACGUUUCUGAAAAGACCUCGUUAGUAUUAACUAACUAGCUAGCUAGCUAACUGGACGUGUCGAUAGAUUUAAAUAAUAAUAAUAGUAGGUAUAAUAAUUUUCCACAACCAUGGAAUAUAUGACACCCCUCCAGAAGAAGAGACGCCACGAAGGAGACCUUCAACCCUGGAGAGAUUGUCAGGCGAAACGACUGUGCAACAGAGUUGGAGUCUGCAUCCAGGUUGAACAUGGCGGGAUGGUGACUGACAGUGCCAUGGAUACAUGGGAUGCCAGCAUGCAACAGCAGAGUGUCCCAAACAGCAACAGCGGUGUCAGCAUCAACCACCCAGCCUCUAACAUGGUCUAUGCAGUCCAAGGCAGCCAACGUUGUAAUCGGUGCCUGGCAGGGGAGCCUGGGCACAUUAACCACAUCAUGGGGUAUUGAUUGGUUAUCGUCAUGAUCAGAGAUCGUUUGAAGAACUGAAGGGUCCUUGAGGAUGAAGAGAUUGAUUGAUUGAUUGAUUGCUUGAUCAAGCCAUUGUGUAUGUGGCUGUGAACGUUUUAUCAGUGUGCCUUGCCUUUUCUUGCUUUUAACCACAAGCACUGUAUUGCUUCAUGUAUAGCCUCACAUGUUUACACUACCUAACACUGGUAUGGGGAAAAUGGCUACUAACCAGACAGUAGACAUGAUCAUUUCAUACUGUCUUACUAACAUUCUGUUUGAAUGGAAAGAUAACCACUACAGUGUAGUCUACAUACAACCAAAAGGAAUGAGCCAUCAAGCCACCAUUAAUACUGUAACUUUAUAAUGUAAUGUGGAUACUCAUUUAAAGUCAAUGGAUCUAUUCAAAAAAAUGACUUAUUGUCCCAGUAUCAAGACUGCUUCUAAAGCUGCCAGAAAAUAUACAUGUAAAUAAUAAUAUUGAAAAGUAAAAACUUUUAAAAGUUAUAUCAUUAUUAACCUUUUUGAAAUGGAUAAUCCUGUCUGCAAAUAUAUUUUUGUGAAAUACAUAUUUUAUAUAUUUUUCUAAAAUGUAAUUGGCUGAAUAUAAAAUAAGAAGUUUGUAACAAUAUUUGUGCUAAUCGUUUAAUUUUGGAUAGUGUCCUGAAUUUAGUGUUAAUCUCAUGGACAUUUUCAGCCAGUUUUAAAUAGUUUGAUCUACACUUGAAAUGUAGGGCUGUUUGACAAUGAUUUGUCUAUUUCCCACUAGAUUUGGUUUUGUGUUGUCUUACAAUGAUUUGAAGCCAGUUUCCACCUUGCCAAGCAGUGAUUUUUAUGCAAGGAAUAGACAAUAGUUGAUGCUGUUAAAUUUCAGGUUAUGACUCAAUGUAAUAGUUUAUUUUUAGUACAAGAAAAGCAACUUUCAAUAAAGUAUGAUUUGAUGAACAAUGUGUGGACAUUUAGAUGUGUUUUUGUGACUACUGUUUCUUCGUUGUUAUUCAAUACCUUUUUUAUAUGAAGCUUAUUUCCACAUGUCAUCUAUUCAUGGGCUUCUGCUGCCUGCUGUACAUUGUGUGGAUCUUUACCCUACGACAGUCUGGUAUGUUUACUAGUGAAUUAUAUGUGAACAGCAUUUAUUCUGUUACAUUUGUCUCUCUUGUUUGAGGAUAUGUUUUGUUCCAUAUUACUGCUAGCUGUGUUUGGUUCACAUGUCUCAUGUCAGGAGGUAGCAUAUACUGUAGCUAUCAUCCCUAUUCUUAUCCAUGGACUUUAACUAGAUCACACAUUUUCAGGCCACUUCUCUAUUCCAGUAUUUUUCAACUCCCCUGCCUUCUAGAACGUUAGCAUGCGCCGUAUCCUAUCCUUCUAGAAUGUUAGCAUGCGCCGUAUCCUAUCCUUCUAGAAUGUUAGCAUGCGCCGUAUCCUAUCCUUCUAGAACGUUAGCGUAGUCCGUAUCCUAUCCUUUAGAACGUUAGCGUUGUCUGUAUCCUAUCCUUCUAGAACGUUAGCGUAGUUUGUAUCCUAUCCUUCUAGAAUGUUAGCAUGCUCCGUAUCCUAUCCUUCUAGAACGUUAGCAUCCUCCGUAUCCUAUCCUUUAGAACGUUAGCGUUGUCUGUAUCCUAUCCCUCUAGAACGUUAGCGUAGUUUGUAUCCUAUCCUUCUAGAACAUUAGCAUAGUCUGUAUCCUAUCCUUCUAGAACGUUAGCAUCCUCCGUAUCCUAUCCUUUAGAACGUUAGCAUUCUCUUUUGGGUGUUGUAUCUUACCCUUUAUGAUAGUUUCCAGUCCACCUCAUAUGAUACGAAGUGAUUGGCAGUUAUAAUGCCAUGAUGAAUGAUAUAUUCAUAGAUAUCAGGGUAUCAACAUUAUGGCUCAACAGAUGCAAUAGGGGAGGGCUAAAGUUUUGAGGAAAGUCAACCAGGAUGGAUUAAUGAGUAUUACCCUUACAAUCUCCCCUGUCCU
rnacentral:lncRNA from 8 species